GGACUGAAACAUAUGCUGUACAAGACAGGGGCGGGGGCGGGAAGCUGGGGAGGGCAGGAGGUGGGAAAUGAUCCACUCCCAACACUGAUACAGACUUCACUUGGGAAAAAAAAAAAAAAAAAAAACCUGACGAGGGACAAAUCCACUGACCUUUUCGAUUUGGCCCGGUGGUUUCUCACACAGAUCAAAUCGUUUGGACACAACGAUGAGACAACACAACAAGGUGCAUAUUUGAGCUUAACGCAGUUACAGUACAAGACUGUCGAAAAAAGACAAAAAAAAAAAAAAUUGUAAAAAGGGCUUUCUGUGUUCAUGCUCAACAACACACCGGAGGCAUUGCAUUCCUGGGUUUUAUAUAAAAGCUUUGGAAGAUUUUUGUUUGUUUUGUUUUGUGUAUUUUAUUUACUUUUAGCUGUAAACAAUUGUGUGAAAAAUGCCUUCAAUGAGUACUCAAGGGUGAGAUGUGCAUUAGGUAUGCAGCAAGAGUGCUGUGACCCAUUUUUACAUUCAAGUCUCUCUGUUUUUACUUUUUUCAUGUGCCAUUCUGCAAGGUUGAGAAUGCCAGUGUAUGAAGACGCAGAGGAUGAUGUGGGGACAGAAACUGAACUGGGCUAAUCGACCGGAGAGCAUUUAUCAGAUCCUGGAAUGUAGUUUUAAUGUGCUGUGGAGGAGAUGGAGAUCACCGACUGGCCCAUUCAGUUAAAAGGCGUGACCUUGUCGUUGGAUCAAAGUGAUGACGACGCACUGCAUACUGUAAAGGGAUCUGGGUCCACGGAUUGAACAGACGUUGAAGCAAAAGUUUUUGGGUCAGUUGUCUCUUGACUGGACGAGCAGAUGCAGACAUGACUACCUCUAUGUGAGUCUCCAUUGCUAACCACAGUGACCAAGAUCCAGUCUGAGGUGUUUCUACCUGUGUACAUACUGUACAAAGCCGCAGGUUGGCAGCAGGAACUUGGAUUUGGACCAGCAAUUCAACAACAAUUUGUUUUAUUAAGCCUCCUUCUGUUGUUUUUAUUUUGGUUAUAUGCCUUUACUAAGUAUUAUUUGGCAAAUGGAAAAGAGGAAAAAAAAAAACAAAAAACACUGAUUUGUGUGCUUGGUUGUAAAUGACAAACUUUAUCAAUGCCGC